UACUGACUGACCGAUAGUGAACCAGUACCGUGAGGGAAAGGCGAAAAGAACCCCGGAGAGGGGAGUGAAAUAGAACCUGAAACCGUAUGCGUACAAGCAGUGGGAGCCUACUUGUUAGGUGACUGCGUACCUUUUGUAUAAUGGGUCAGCGACUUAUAUUCAGUGGCAAGCUUAACCGUAUAGGGUAGGCGUAGCGAAAGCGAGUCUUAAUAGGGCGUUUAGUCGCUGGGUAUAGACCCGAAACCGGGCGAUCUAUCCAUGAGCAGGUUGAAGGUUAGGUAACACUGACUGGAGGACCGAACCCACUCCCGUUGAAAAGGUAGGGGAUGACUUGUGGAUCGGAGUGAAAGGCUAAUCAAGCUCGGAGAUAGCUGGUUCUCCUCGAAAGCUAUUUAGGUAGCGCCUCAUGUAUCACUCUGGGGGGUAGAGCACUGUUUCGGCUAGGGGGUCAUCCCGACUUACCAAACCGAUGCAAACUCCGAAUACCCAGAAGUGCCGAGCAUGGGAGACACACGGCGGGUGCUAACGUCCGUCGUGAAAAGGGAAACAACCCAGACCGCCAGCUAAGGUCCCAAAGUUGUGGUUAAGUGGUAAACGAUGUGGGAAGGCUUAGACAGCUAGGAGGUUGGCUUAGAAGCAGCCACCCUUUAAAGAAAGCGUAAUAGCUCACUAGUCGAGUCGGCCUGCGCGGAAGAUGUAACGGGGCUCAAACCACACACCGAAGCUGCGGGUGUCACGUAAGUGACGCGGUAGAGGAGCGUUCUGUAAGCCUGUGAAGGUGAGUUGAGAAGCUUGCUGGAGGUAUCAGAAGUGCGAAUGCUGACAUGAGUAACGACAAUGGGUGUGAAAAACACCCACGCCGAAAGACCAAGGGUUCCUGCGCAACGUUAAUCGACGCAGGGUUAGUCGGUUCCUAAGGCGAGGCUGAAAAGCGUAGUCGAUGGGAAACAGGUUAAUAUUCCUGUACUUCUGGUUACUGCGAUGGAGGGACGGAGAAGGCUAGGCCAGCUUGGCGUUGGUUGUCCAAGUUUAAGGUGGUAGGCUGAAAUCUUAGGUAAAUCCGGGGUUUCAAGGCCGAGAGCUGAUGACGAGUCGUCUUUUAGAUGACGAAGUGGUUGAUGCCAUGCUUCCAAGAAAAGCUUCUAAGCUUCAGGUAACCAGGAACCGUACCCCAAACCGACACAGGUGGUCGGGUAGAGAAUACCAAGGCGCUUGAGAGAACUCGGGUGAAGGAACUAGGCAAAAUGGCACCGUAACUUCGGGAGAAGGUGCGCCGGCUAGGG
rnacentral:rRNA from 1 species